CGUGCUUAACACAUGCAAGUCGAACGAUGAACCUUAGCUUGCUAAGGGGAUUAGUGGCGCACGGGUGAGUAAUAUAUAGAUAAUCUGCCUCUUAGUCUGGGAUAGCCAUUGGAAACGAUGAUUAAUACUAGAUACUCCUUCUAACUCUAAUGUUAGUUGGGAAAGUUUUUCGCUAAGAGAUGAGUCUAUAUCCCAUCAGCUUGUUGGUAGUGUAAGAGACUACCAAGGCUAUGACGGGUAGCGGGUUUGAGAGGAUGAUCCGCCACACUGGUACUGAGACACGGACCAGACUCCUACGGGAGGCAGCAGUGAGGAAUAUUGCACAAUGGGGGAAACCCUGAUGCAGCAACGCCGUGUGGAGGAUGACGCAUUUCGGUGUGUAAACUCCUUUUAUGAGUCAAGAAAAUGACGGUAGCUCAUGAAUAAGCACCGGCUAACUCCGUGCCAGCAGCCGCGGUAAUACGGAGGGUGCAAGCGUUAUUCGGAAUCACUGGGCGUAAAGGACGCGUAGGCGGGAAGCCAAGUCUGAUGUGAAAUCCUAUGGCUCAACCAUAGAACUGCAUUGGAAACUGGUUACCUAGAGUAUGGGAGGGGGAGAUGGAAUUAGUGGUGUAGGGGUAAAAUCCGUAGAUAUCACUAGGAAUACCGAAAGCGAAGGCGAUCUCCUGGAACAAUACUGACGCUAAGGCGUGAAAGCGUGGGGAGCAAACGGGAUUAGAUACCCCGGUAGUCCACGCCCUAAACGAUGUUCACUAGUCGUCGGAAUGCUAGUCAUUUCGGUGAUGCACUUAACAGAUUAAGUGAACCGCCUGGGGAGUACGGUCGCAAGAUUAAAACUCAAAGGAAUAGACGGGGACCCGCACAAGUGGUGGAGCAUGUGGUUUAAUUCGAAGAUACGCGAAGAACCUUACCUAGCCUUGACAUUGAAGAAAUAGACCAGAGAUGGACUAGUGCCCUUCGGGGAAUCUGAAAACAGGUGCUGCACGGCUGUCGUCAGCUCGUGUCGUGAGAUGU
rnacentral:rRNA from 1 species